CGCACGAUAUCGGGAGAGCCUGUUCAGGAAAUCGACCCCGCGCAGCGCCGAAGGAGCAACCGCCCCGGAAACUCUCAGGCAAAAGGACCGAUAUUGUUUC
rnacentral:ncRNA from 2 species